CCUCUCCUCUCUCCCUCUCUCCCUCUCUCCUCUCUGCUUCGUGCCUUCCCCUCCCCUCCCCUCCCCCACCCUACCUGACAUUGGUGCCGCCUACCCGCUCGCCAAACACACGGUCACACCCACUGCACCACUUUAGUUCUCUCUCUCUCUCUCUCUCUCUCUCUCUCUCUCUCUCUCUCUCUCUCUCUCUCUCUCUCUCUCUCUCUCUCUCUCUCUCCCCUCGCUAAAGGAGAUGAGUACGGCCCUCAGUACAACUACUAUAAAGACUCCAGCGCUCCUCCACCCACACUCAUUCUAUCACAGCUAGCUCUCUAUGCCUUGCCGCCGCCGCUCCUCUCCUCCUCCUCCUCCUCCUCCUCCUCCUCCUCCUCCUCCUCCUCCUCCUCCUCCUCCUCCAGCAGGGCCGGUGCCGCGCCCAGAGCCUCAAUAUAGCACGCCACGUGGGCACCGCGACAUAGAUCCCGCGGACGCCUUCCUGGAGGUGAAAGUUGGUCAGCCAAGGUUUCACGCCGAGGUCGAUGUGUGGCCGCGCUCGGGAGGACGCCCCCCCUCCCCCCUCCCCCCCUCGCACAUUCACAGGCAUAUUCGCAUGCAUUCAAACAUACACUCGCACUCACGCACGCGCACACACACACACACACACACACACACACACACACACACACACACACACACACACACACACACACACACACACACACACACGAAUGCACAGAAGACAUCGACAAAGUACACACACACACACACACCUGUCGUGAAUAAGAGAUGGUGGAUAGCCAGCCACCUGUGCCGGACCCCCCUCCUCCCCCCCUCCCUUUUCUCCCCCCACCCCGCUUCCCCAACUCUUUGCCAGAACUGAACAAUGGAACAAGUGAACAGUGUUAUGCGGAUUUGAAAGGCCUAUCAGUGGUGGAACAAGCGAACAAGCAAAGAGCGACUUCGGUGCUUGCAAGCAGACGUCGGGGAUAUCGUGGUGCUUCUCCCUCUAUGGCGAAGACGAGUAUAUGUGUUUGCUUGACGAAUAUUAUAUGUUAUAUGAUAGAAACAUCUGGAGGAAUUCGUCAAUCGCCUUUCAAAAGCAGCGAUGUUCUAGAGAUGUUCUAGAGAUGUUCUAGAGGACAUGCUCAUCACGUGAAACCUGCCGGAUGUUACGUCAUCGCAGACAUUGGCGGUGAUGAACCCAUGCUAAGACUGGCUAAAGCUUUAGAUCGUCAUAAAUUCGAGGUCUCUCAAUUGGUGCAUGCCCCCGCGAUGACGUCACGGGCGGGCUCCUGAUUGGCUGUCGUAGCUGGUGACGUGUACCGCGUACGGAGCGCUGGUUGGUGGAGAGCCAGUUGCCAGAAUCAGCUAGAACGGAGAAGUGCUCACAUGGCGGCCCCGGGAAUGGAAGCCCCACUCGGCUCCAGUCUGAGGGCUUCCCAUCAGCUGUUCGCAAGGGUGGAGCAGCGACGGCGGGGCCACCAGCUAUCGUCGUACUCUGCGAGCUGUGUUUAAGGUGGUGACUCCAUGAGACUUAUUCCUGAUCAACCAAGAGCCCAGUAUGUCUCUGGGUGUAGACAGUGCUGUUUGCAGGACGAAAUGGGCCUUAUGGAGUGAGGCCAUAAGGAUCAGUGAAAGUUGAACCGGCGACACCUUGACAUCAUCAGCUGCUGCCGGCCGGCUUGUCUCUCAAGAUCUCGACCUUGGCUGUCAGUGGCGAGUUGCCAGGUGCAAGAUGCCGUCUGGUGGUAAAAUAUUUAUCAUCGCUUCCUCAACUCCGACGGGAUAUACGGUCAAUUACAGAUGCAGAGUUGAUCUCCUAACAACAGUUGUUAGGCUGCCGUGCACGUGGGAGCCAUGGCUGUUUCCAGAGCGCCGGAAUAGCCAUAUUAAGAAUCGAAAUGUCCGAGCUAGGCGCUGUCUCGCUCCGUCGUGUGUCUCUUCCUCAUUGGUCGAACCGCCUCGGAUAUUUUCUAGGACACCAUUGAUACGCGGUCGGUCCUUAUUCGAAAUGGGAUGGAUCCGCCGCUGUUUCUCGGGACGGCUUUUCGGCGGAUCGAACUUCGGGCUGGGGGAGAGAGGGGAAGUUCGGGUUAUCGGAGAUUUUUUUUCUUUUUCUCUGAAAUGGAGUUUUUUUUAGGUAGGAAUUUGAUAGUUUAUUGUGUAAUCAAGACAGGGAAUUGUUGUUAGUAGUUUUGUGAAGGAUAUGGAGGAGGGAUCAGUAGUAUCCACGUGAGGAGGGAGAGAAAAUGCCCAUGGUACCUUUCCGAGCAGCAGGUCCAAAGGCAGGCUGUUACGGAACCCAAGGUUAGCCAUUUUAUCGCAUCAUUUUCGGAGAGCAAUUUUCUUCGAGGAAUUCGUAGUGGAAACGUGGAUCGGCUCUUUUUUUAUUGUAUUUUCUGUCUCUGGGUGACGAGGACUCCGCGGGUCUUCUUGGAGGUAAUAUCAGGCAAUUUAUUCACUCAAUUUCCUGUACAGCAACAAUGAGGCUUUAGGUAAAACUAUCAUGCAGUUCACAUGCUAUCGGAAGUGACGUCACAGUGAGUGGGAAUGAAUGGAUGGAACAGGAUGGGGGCGUGGCUUAAUAUUUGUGCUUCAUUCACGACCUUCUGCCAGUCCCUGUGUGACAUCACGUUAAUGGAAUGUGCUAAUCUACAUUCAUAACUUUAACGCUACUUCGGCCCUCAGGUCGUCUACGAUUCGGUCCCAGCGAGAGAACCGGCCUUCGCACAGUUAGUUAUUAUGGGCUUUGUUUCCGAGGCGGAUCUUGUGUGAGAGAAAGAUGGGGUUUUUGUGCCGAACGGUGAGGGUGGGUGGUGGUGUUUGGGUGAUGCAGUUUGCUUGGUGACGUCAAGACCGAUGCAAGAUGUGAAUGGCCACACCGGUGCCGAGUGCGAAGCUUUGGAGUGCCCUCAUUGGCGAAGAAACAAUGACGUCACACUUUCGGGAAACUGCGAUCAGAAACCGGCGCUUGUGAUUGGUCGAGGAGCCACAUUCCUGACGUGCCCGUGUGAGCCGCACCCGGACGCAAAUAUAUGGAAUGAAGGACGGAAUACUGGCGGGGUUUCUCUCUCUCUCUCUCUCUCUCUCUCUCUCUCUCUCUCUCUCUCUCUCUCUCUCUCUCUCUCUCUCUCUCUCUCUCUCUCUCUCUCUCUCUCUUUAUAUCUGGGGGAUUUUCGGGAGUUUUCUCUCGGCUUUUUAUCUGCAGCGGUUGAUCCCGACGAGUUUAUUUGCGCCGCUUGAAAGACGACUCUGGCCUCCGUGGAAGCCUCAUAGAAAACGCUUGUUGUCCUCUGCAUUCCUCACUCAUGACACCCGGACUCUCACAGCUGUGCGCAGAUCGGCCACCCAGAAUUCACUGAGUUUAGCAAAUUCACAAAUAUUACUGGUCGCUAAACUAUCGCUCGGUUGUUUACUGAAUGGAACAUUAUGAAUUCUUGAAAGAUAUCGUUUCAGGCAAAGUUUAUCGCCAGAGAGACGGAUUCAGGGGCGGGGCGCAGGGCUUCCACGUGUAACGAAAUCAAGGUCGUAAAUAUGACUGAUUCUCAAAACAUCAGAAAGAAUAAAUACUGGGCAAGGUCUCCACGGCAAGAAACUUCAAUAGAUUGAAUUAAGAGCGGGAUCCUGGCAAAAUGUCGCGAAAGUAUCCACAAUGAAUUCUCCUUUUUGUGUAAAGCAAUAUGCUUGAUAUCGAUGUUACUUGUGUUUUUAUUAAGGAUCAUUUGGCUAAAUAUAUUUUGAAAAGAAAGUGUUGGAACCAAACAAGAUUAAAUGGCAUAAGCCCACGCAGUGCAUCGCUGAUUCGUCAUUUCGACUGCAUAGCUAAUCAGGGUGUGCGUGAGAGAGAGAGAGAAGAGAAAAACAGACAAAGAGGAAGGACGGAGAGAGAGAGAGAGAGAGAAAGAAUGACAAAGAGAAAGGGCGGAAAGGAAAGAGAGGAAAGGGGAAAAGGGGGUUGUUCAGCUGCGGGUUUGUUUUACGUCCGUCGGCCCCUGUCCUUUGUCAGGCGCUGUUGCAUCCUUUGCCAGGCGUGGUUCGUGACGACCUUGGCGGCGGGUGUGGGGCAUGUCCCUUUAUGAGACGUGAUUCAUGGUCUUUGUGAGCUAUGGUUCGUACGAAUUCGCAGUUAUAUAUCAAGUGUGUGAUGAGGUGUGGUUCCCUUUAUCGCUACGGUCCCUACGUGAUCUGCCGGGCUGCGUUGGCUUCGGGGUUUGUGACGAUUAUGUUAAUAUCUUUAUAUGUUAUGCCCUUGUUUGGGUGCAGGAUUUAACGUCGUUAAAGCAACAAACGUGAGGAAGGGAUGGAGGGGUGAUGGGGGAGGGGGGGAAUGGUUUCGUGACUUUGACAGUUAUCGUGACGUUGGCAGCGACGUAGCAUGCGGUUGUCGUACGUCAAUGAAUCAUUGGUCCACGCCUCGACGCAUUAUCUCUCAUUUUUACAUUUUGUUUUUUCAUCUCUCGUUACUCAAACACUCAAAAUUCAAUUAAAAAAAAGAAGAAAGAGAAAACUUAAAACCACGUGAGACAUUUAGGGUGACAGGAGAGUAUGGCUCGUGGAAAGUCGGCCAAGAUCGGCGUGUGAUUUUUUCGAAAACCAGCUUCAACUCCUGCUUUUUGGUCAGUAUCCGGGAAGAGCCGAGUCCCGCGCCAUAUGGUAGCAGAGGCUCGGGCUGUGGAUGAUGGGGUUGUUUCUCCGCCGAGGUAGAGUUUGGCAGAAAUGGAGACCGUGAGGUGUGUUUUGCUACUUUCUCCGGGUUGGGUUCCGGCGGUAGUUUAUUAUCAUUAUUAUCAAUUAGCGUUGUUGGACUUCUUGUUCUUGAUCUAAUCUCUCUCUCUCUCUCUCUCUCUCUCUCUCUCUCUCUCUCUCUCUCUCUCUCUCUCUCUCUCUCUCUCUCUCUCUCUCUCUCUCUCUCUCUCUCUUAUGAGGCAUCAUUUUAUCAUUCGAGAUGUUACCACAGACUCUGGACUCCGUCUUGAGAAUCUUAACCUCUUGAGAUUAGUGAUGAUUGUGAAAUGUUAUUCGAGGAAGCGAGACUGAUGAAACACGAGUCAUUGUUUAGUGCAUCCGUCUCUCUCUCUC
rnacentral:lncRNA from 1 species